rnacentral:piRNA from 1 species
UGCACUGGAGGAAGUGUGUAAUGUGUGUA